rnacentral:rRNA from 1 species
CUAAUACAUGCAAGUCGAGCGGGGNUNUNUAGAAGCUUGCUUCUACAUAACCUAGCGGCGGACGGGUGAGUAACACGUAGGCAACCUGCCCACAAGACAGGGAUAACUACCGGAAACGGUAGCUAAUACCCGAUACAUCCUUUUCCUGCAUGGGAGAAGGAGGAAAGACGGAGCAAUCUGUCACUUGUGGAUGGGCCUGCGGCGCAUUAGCUAGUUGGUGGGGUAAAGGCCUACCAAGGCGACGAUGCGUAGCCGACCUGAGAGGGUGAUCGGCCACACUGGGACUGAGACACGGCCCAGACUCCUACGGGAGGCAGCAGUAGGGAAUCUUCCGCAAUGGGCGAAAGCCUGACGGAGCAACGCCGCGUGAGUGAUGAAGGUUUUCGGAUCGUAAAGCUCUGUUGCCAGGGAAGAACGUCUUGUAGAGUAACUGCUACAAGAGUGACGGUACCUGAGAAGAAAGCCCCGGCUAACUACGUGCCAGCAGCCGCGGUAAUACGUAGGGGGCAAGCGUUGUCCGGAAUUAUUGGGCGUAAAGCGCGCGCAGGCGGCUCUUUAAGUCUGGUGUUUAAUCCCGAGGCUCAACUUCGGGUCGCACUGGAAACUGGGGAGCUUGAGUGCAGAAGAGGAGAGUGGAAUUCCACGUGUAGCGGUGAAAUGCGUAGAGAUGUGGAGGAACACCAGUGGCGAAGGCGACUCUCUGGGCUGUAACUGACGCUGAGGCGUGAAAGCGUGGGGAGCAAACAGGAUUAGAUACC